AGAGUUUGAUCCUGGCUCAGAGCGAGCGCUGGCGGCAGGCUUAACACAUGCAAGUCGAGCGCCCCGCAAGGGGAGCGGCGGACGGGUGAGUAACACGUGGGAACGUGCCCUUUGGUUCGGGAUAACUGCGGGAAACUGCAGCUAACACCGGAUACGCCCUAACGGGGAAAGGUUACGCCGAAGGAGCGGCCCGCGUCUGAUUAGCUAGUUGGUGGGGUAAUGGCUCACCAAGGCGACGAUCAGUAGCUGGUCUGAGAGGAUGAUCAGCCACACUGGGACUGAGACACGGCCCAGACUCCUACGGGAGGCAGCAGUGGGGAAUCUUGCGCAAUGGGGGAAACCCUGACGCAGCCAUGCCGCGUGUAUGAUGAAGGUCUUAGGAUUGUAAAAUACUUUCACCGGGGAAGAUAAUGACGGUACCCGGAGAAGAAGCCCCGGCUAACUUCGUGCCAGCAGCCGCGGUAAUACGAAGGGGGCUAGCGUUGCUCGGAUUUACUGGGCGUAAAGGGCGCGUAGGCGGACGACCAAGUUGGGGGUGAAAGCCCGGGGCUCAACCUCGGAAUUGCCUUCAAAACUGGUCGUCUAGAGUUUGGGAGAGGUGUGUGGAACUCCGAGUGUAGAGGUGAAAUUCGUAGAUAUUCGGAAGAACACCAGUGGCGAAGGCGACACACUGGCCCAAUACUGACGCUGAGGCGCGAAAGCGUGGGGAGCAAACAGGAUUAGAUACCCCAGUAGUCC
rnacentral:rRNA from 1 species